UAGGUUGUGGCUCAAUGGUAGAGUGCUUGCCUGGCACGUGUGAGGCACUGGGUUCAAUCCUCAGCACCAUAU
rnacentral:tRNA from 1 species